GGCAGCGGCGGAGCCGCGCCAGAAGCCGCACAAUAGACGGAGGGCAGGGCCCCUCCCCGCGGCCUGAGGUGCCGCCGCGGGCCCGGCCCGGCCCCGUGAGGGGGAACGGAACUGCGGUACCGGCCCGUGAGGGGGAACGGAACUGCGGUACCGGCCCGUGAGGGGGAACGGGCCCGGCCCCAGCCCCAGCCCCGGUGAGGGGGAACAGGCCCCGCGGGUUCGGGCGGCGGAGGGGCCGGUGUCCCGGGCUGGCAGGUCCUGUGCUGAGAUCGGUCACUCAGGGUGAGCCGGGCUCGCCCCAGGACGCGCACGGUGCUGGUUUUCCUUCUCGGGGAGAAAGACCGCGGGUAAUACUGCGAGUAUCUAUGGAGGCUCCCGCAGGUGGAUCCAGGUCACCUCUGUGGUCCCUUCCAGCCUGGAUCACUGUGUGCUCCUGGAACUCUUCUAACAGCUGAGUGAACAGCCAGGUGAUGCUGAGCAGCAGACUUGGACACUAACAGAAGUUCCUCAGAGAUCCUGGUAUUGACAACCACAUAAGCUCUUUGUUCACCAUUGAAUGGGGCCUAAUUUUCAUUUUUAAUUUAUGUGUAUCUCAUAUGUAGAGUGUGAAGCCUCCAGAAUACAUCUAAAGUGACUUUUUGAUUGUACCAGCAUCACAUUUAUCUCUUCCUCAAUCACACCAUCUCAUACUCUAGUGCUGAGACCCACAUUCAGUGCACUAAAAACCACUGCCUCUAUUUUCCUUAUUUUUUUAAAUUUAUAUUAAAACUCCUUGGUUUAGAGAAUCAGACAAUAACAGAAGGUGGCCAGUGGAAAACAUAUCUACAAAUUCUAAACCCCCUUUCCCAAUGUUGCCAAAGACCAAGGUUUCUGAUUUGGCUCAUGACCAGCAAGCACAAGCUCACAGACUGCAAAUCAGGCUCAGCAAAGGGGGCGUGGGGUUUGCUCUCAAAACAACACAAAUCUAAUGGAAUCUAGGAACAGGCAGAAAGCUAAAUUCCAUGCUUAAUUAUAGUUGUGGAUAAAUUUAAUUCAAAAUUGUACUGCUGAUUAUACUUGGUACAGCUCUCUACAGCUUUCCAAAGGAGGAAAUUCCAUCCUCACUUUGAAUUCUACUGUUGAAUUAGAAGUUUGGGAAAAUUAAAACAGCAAAAACACCCCACACCCCAAAAAGAGACAGAUGGCUGUCACAGAUAUGUUAUAAUCACACGGCAGCACCUCCCACUGUGCCCUACAUAUCACACAGCCAACCUCCCCAGCCACUCCUGGUGCUUGCCGUUAUCUGCUGUGCAAAAGCAGCUGCUGCAGCAGUGAUAGCCGAGUCCUGUCAGUCAGUCAGUAUUGAUGGCACCAAAGCCCAUCCCUGGCUAAAGCUGCCAGGCAAAAACAAGAUUGCUUCAAAAGGGGUGGCCCAAUUUCAGUUGUUCUGCACACAGGUAAUGAUUGCACUCAAAUAAUCCUAAAGCUGAGCAGAGAAUCACACCAUGUAUCAGCCAGGGGUAAAUUACAGUUAAGGGCCUUUGACCACUGAGAGCGUGGAGGAGGAAAGGAGCAGCUUAACACCAAAGCAAGUACCUGAAAAGAUUGGAGCAACUGAGCUUGAUUUAAUGCUUAAUCAGAUCCAGAAGAGCCCUGACCUACAUAUUCACAGCAUCCCUGGGCUGCAGGCACAGCCAGUUGAGCAGCCAUGCAGCCACAGGGGAAGAGUUUAACGUGCUGAACGUGAGGGAGCAGCCUCCUGGACACAGCCCUGCACCUGCUCCACAGCCUCACAUUCCCUUCCUGGAUGUUUCUCUCAGGCAAAAAUAAUGUGUCCCCCACUCUUCAGAGCACCUCACACUCCCCUUUAAAUGAGAAACAGGAUUUUUUUAGCUGCUGGUGGUGAUUUAGAGACUAUUUUUCAAUACAAGUGGGAUGUGGCAUUGUCAAAGUCUAAUGACAAUCCGGCUUGAAAGAGCUCAGCUUAGCUCCAUUGACAAGUUAGAAAAAUCCACAGAACUCCUCCUGAGUUCACUGAACCAGGGAGAGAGCCAGGUAAGACCAUGGAAUCUGAAAAAGAUCCUAAUCUACUUGUAGGGGAGAAUGAGACUUGCUGCAAAAAUCAUCCUUUUUUCAGGAAUACAAAAAAUUAAGAACAUUUUUUAAAACAAACAGCCACAUCCAGUUUGAAAAUAAUCAAACUGACUGGUUCAGUGUAAAACUAGAAAACAUCAGAAUUAUUCAUGUGAAAGAGAUGGUAGAAAGACACUGUUGAGCUCAAAGGCUGGGCCACUGUUUUUUAAAGCAGUCUUGGAACAAUGCACCUGCAGAAGAGGAAAAUUCUUGUUUUCAGUACAAGUCUAAAAAAUCUAAUUAUAUAAAAAGCUAAUUAUUGCAUUUCCACUUCAUUAAAAUUUGUAUUAAAGCAGCA